rnacentral:lncRNA from 1 species
GUCAGUCCCCACGUGGGAACCCGACCCUCCUCCACCCCCUCCCCGCCCCACUCCCUCCCCUCUCCAUGUCUCUUCUCUCUCUUCUUUCUCUAUCUCUGCUCUCUCCUCUCCCUCUCUCCCUUCCCCCACACCCCUCCUCUCUCUCUCUCUCUCUCUCUCUCGCUCUCGCUCUCUCUCUCGCUCUCGCUCUCGCUCUCGCUCUCUCUCUCUCGCUCUCNNNNNNNNNNCUCUCUCUCGCUCUCGCUCUCGCUCUCGCUCUCUCUCUCUCGCUCUCUCACUCUCUCUCUGUCUCUCUCUGUCUCUCUCUCCACCCACCUUAUCUACACCAGCUUCCUAGCUUCACGGAGUCGCCAACACCCUUCCUGCACCCCUGCUGGGGACCGGACCUUCGGAGAGCUGUUUGGGGUAACGGGAGAAGAAAAAGUGAAGGCUGGAACAGGCACCUUCUGGCCAUCUCCACCUAAGCUGGACCAGGCAACUGGGUGUUGGAUGCUGGAGAGGUCUGGAGGUCCGAGACCACCGCCUCUGCUCUGCUUUCCCUGCCUGGGGAAGGGACGGAAGGAAGAAGGAGUAGCGGAGGAGAGAGUGCCGAUUAGAAGCUGCGAAAACUGGCAGGAACAACCCACCCCGCAGGGCUGGGGGGGAUUGAGCGGUAUUCAGUGAGCCAGGAAAGGGUCUCGGAAUCCCUUGGAACCCCCGAGGAGUCUGCGCUCUCACCCACAGAGCGAGGGCGCACUGACACCUGCUGGCGGCUCGCGGUCAGUGCUGAGUACCCUCAAGCAGCUCGAUACACAGGGUUCUGGAGAGACUUGAGAACUUCAGCAUGGAUAACCUAGGGCUUCCUACCUUCAAUAAGGACGAUACUACUUAAAGGAAAGGGGGUUUCCGUUUUCAAAUAAUAUUGGAAUGUGUUAUUUCAAAAACAUCCAAAGUUCCUAAAGUAGAAAACCAUUGUCUUUUUUCCUACUUCUUUCCUUUUCUUUCUUUCUUUUGCCCACAAUAGUGGGGUUAAUUAUGCAUAAAUAAAUAUAAAAGUCAAAGGAGAUCUGCUCUUAUG